rnacentral:rRNA from 1 species
CCCUUGAGGCGUGGCUUCCGGAGCUAACGCGUUAAGUCGACCGCCUGGGGAGUACGGCCGCAAGGUUAAAACUCAAAUGAAUUGACGGGGGCCCGCACAAGCGGUGGAGCAUGUGGUUUAAUUCGAUGCAACGCGAAGAACCUUACCUACUCUUGACAUCCAGAGAACUUAGCAGAGAUGCUUUGGUGCCUUCGGGAACUCUGAGACAGGUGCUGCAUGGCUGUCGUCAGCUCGUGUUGUGAAAUGUUGGGUUAAGUCCCGCAACGAGCGCAACCCUUAUCCUUUGUUGCCAGCGGUCAGGCCGGGAACUCAAAGGAGACUGCCAGUGAUAAACUGGAGGAAGGUGGGGAUGACGUCAAGUCAUCAUGGCCCUUACGAGUAGGGCUACACACGUGCUACAAUGGCGCAUACAAAGAGAAGCGACCUCGCGAGAGCAAGCGGACCUCAUAAAGUGCGUCGUAGUCCGGAUUGGAGUCUGCAACUCGACUCCAUGAAGUCGGAAUCGCUAGUAAUCGUGGAUCAGAAUGCCACGGUGAAUACGUUCCCGGGCCUUGUACACACCGCCCGUCACACCAUGGGAGUGGGUUGCAAAAGAAGUAGGUAGCUUAACCUUCGGGAGGGCGCUUACCACUUUGUGAUUCAUGACUGGGGUGAAGUCGUAACAAGGUAACCGUAGGGGAACCUGCGGUUG